GUGUCAGCCGCCGCGGUAAUACGUAGGUGGCGAGCGUUGUCCGGAUUUAUUGGGCGUAAAGGGAGUGUAGGCGGUCUUUUAAGUCUGAUGUGAAAGCCCACGGCUCAACCGUGGAGGGUCAUUGGAAACUGGAAAACUUGAGUGCAGAAGAGGAAAGUGGAAUUCCAUGUGUAGCGGUGAAAUGCGCAGAGAUAUGGAGGAACACCAGUGGCGAAGGCGACUUUCUGGUCUGUAACUGACGCUGAUGUGCGAAAGCGUGGGGAUCAAACAGGAUUAGAAACCCCAGUAGUCC
rnacentral:rRNA from 1 species